UAAGAGCUCGUAGGCGGCUUGUCACGUCGGGUGUGAAAGCCCGGGGCUUAACCCCGGGUCUGCAUUCGAUACGGGCUAGCUAGAGUGUGGUAGGGGAGAUCGGAAUUCCUGGUGUAGCGGUGAAAUGCGCAGAUAUCAGGAGGAACACCGGUGGCGAAGGCGGAUCUCUGGGCCAUUACUGACGCUGAUGAGCGAAAGCGUGUGGAGCGAACAGG
rnacentral:rRNA from 1 species